GAUGAACGCUAGCGAUAGGCUUAACACAUGCAAGUCGAGGGGCAGCAUGAUCUUAGCUUGCUAAGGUCGAUGGCGACCGGCGCACGGGUGCGUAACGCGUAUGCAACUUGCCUUACAGAGGGGGAUAACCCGUUGAAAGACGGACUAAAACCGCAUACACUUGUAUUAUUGCAUGAUAUUACAAGGAAAUAUUUAUAGCUGUAAGAUAGGCAUGCGUCCCAUUAGCUGGUUGGUGAGGUAACGGCUCACCAAGGCGACGAUGGGUAGGGGAACUGAGAGGUUUAUCCCCCACACUGGUACUGAGACACGGACCAGACUCCUACGGGAGGCAGCAGUGAGGAAUAUUGGUCAAUGGGCGAGAGCCUGAACCAGCCAAGUCGCGUGAAGGAAGACAGUCCUAAGGAUUGUAAACUUCUUUUAUACGGGAAUAAACGGGCGAUAACGAAUA
rnacentral:rRNA from 1 species